ensembl:lncRNA
CUGCCAGAAACAUUGGCAGCUGUUCUGGCUCUGCUGUUUGCAUGAGACACCUCUGUGGCUGGCGUACAGGGACACAAUCUGUCACUCAACCUUAACUUUAAGACAAAGAGAAAAUUAGAGUGUGCCCUUGCUAUCUAGUCUUGAGACAGAGUGAAAGAACCUUGGAGUGCUAAUUGUGAUGGGAAGUCAACGUCUUCACAGCGCAAGCAGGGAAAAAGGCGUCCCCCACCUUGGUCCCCAAGUCCCCUGGGAUAGGCUCCGGGCUUCCCAUGACCCUGUUGCCAGAUCCUGACACACUUCUAAUGCUGUGGUUCCUCUUGCCCUCUGGACCUGCCUGAUUUAUUCAAGAACACUACUUCUGUUUGGAGCUACUACAGUUGUGACUUGCCUUCUACUGCUGUAGAUGGUCCCACCUGGAUACCCGAAAGUUUUGCACUUCCC